UACAGAGGUGGCAAGCGUUGUUCGGAAUUACUGGGCGUAAAGGGCGCGUAGGCGGCCCUUCAAGUCCUGUGUGAAAUCCCUCGGCUCAACUGGGGAACUGCACAGGAUACUGUUUGGCUUGAGUUCGGGAGAGGGAAGCGGAAUUCCGGGUGUAGCGGUGAAAUGCGUAGAUAUCCGGAGGAACACCGGUGGCGAAGGCGGCUUCCUGGACCGACACUGACGCUGAGGCGCGAAAGCUAGGGGAGCAAACGGG
rnacentral:misc_RNA from 1 species